rnacentral:SRP_RNA from 1 species
CAGGGCAGGAAGAUAGCAGCCGCACA